UCGUGUUUGGUUAUUUAUUGGUUUGUUUGUGUGUUCAGCUCUGUUAAAGGUAAAUUUAAACGAUACAAGUAAGAUUGAGAAGCGAGAGAAGAUUCUUUCUGAGAAGAGAAUUGUAAGACAACAGAAGAGAAAACGAAAGUUAUAUUUUUUAUUUCUAGAGAAUACUAAGAAAGUUUGGAAAAAUAUUGUAUAGUCAAAUCAAUGCUUCUUUUGUUUGACAAUCGCAUUGUUUAUUUAAUAUAUUUAUUCAGAAGGUCCUAGAUUCAAUUCCCUUCGAAUCCAAAAAUAUUUCGGUUCUAAAGGAUAAGUCUGCUAAUCCUUGUGAUUGUAAGCUGAAUAUUAUGAAAAAUGUUCACUUCAUUAGAGCUCAGUUAAUAUAUAUCAUACACCUGAUUAGUAGCAGCUGAAGUCGGUGGGUCGCCAACGGUCGUGACCCCAUCGGGCCCUAUAGUGGGGUCCUUGAUGACGUCACGCCGUGGCCGUCCCAUACACGCCUUCCGGGGCAUUCGCUAUGCGGAACCACCCAUCGGAGAACUGCGGUUCAGACUGCCAGUGUUACUAACAAAAUAUAAGGAAGAAACGCGACAGCGGAAGGCCCCGCGUGUCCACAAGAUGCUGACCCGGGCUACUUCCUUGACGAAGAUUGUCUGAGACUAAACGUGUACAAACCGGGAAGCAGACAUAUCACUUCCCUUUUACCCGUGGUGGUGUACAUCCACGCUGGAGCUACUACUCAGUGUCGGGAAGGUCAGCUGGGCCCCACUAUUUACUGGACAAGGAUCUCCUCCUUGUUACCAUUAACUAUCGCCUGGGUUCAUUGGGUAACAAUAUUUCAUGUUUUUAAUUUGUCUUUGUAUAUAAAUACUAGCUCAUGCACACGGCUGGGAGAGGCUGUUUCAGCGCAGAGGAAUCAGUCACCCACGAAGUCCUGGAAUGCGAGGCUGUGACUAAAGAACGUGUAGAAAUCCUCGGAACAGUGAGGUCGCUCCGUGAAGCCUGCGAGGUGCCCAGGAGGCUUCUGUGCUUUUGGAAGGAGUUAGGCUGGUUUAAUUAGCCAGGACUUUACGCACAAUGGACCUAUUGAGCGUCUAAGUGCGGAAACAGAGUCCACACAUAUACAAUACAAUCAUGCACACGGCUUCAUCCGCGAGAACUUGUGUCUUUUUUACUCACAACUUAUUUAUUUUUGAUGCAACACUUACAUUAUAAAAUGUCUCUAUAGGUAGAUGAAAAGGGAUUUUUUUGGCGGAAAACGCGCAACCUUGUGUAUUCUUUACUUUAAAUUGAACUUGAUUGAUCGAUCCUAACUAAUUUGACAAUUUGGCUCCUAUUAGAAAGAUAAUUGAGACACGAACCCCGUUUUUUGAACUUGAUUAUGUUAUUAUGUAAAUAACAAUCUGUCUUACGAUAAAUUUUAUGAUAAUGUUGCGAAAGUCUCGGCAUCACCUCUCUUAUAGGCAAUAGCCUCCAAAUAUGGAGUCAUCUCUGUAAAAGGUAUUAAUG